rfam:Erinaceus europaeus unplaced genomic scaffold scaffold00960, whole genome shotgun sequence
AGAUGUGAGGGCGAUUUGGCUGUGACAUCCGUUACCCUACUUGAUGGCCAAGGUUCAUUUCUCUGAUCUGGCUGGCUAGGCGGGUGUCCUCUUCCUCCCUCACUGCUCCAUGUCGGAGCUGCUUGGUGGAAGAGGCCCGCCUUCCCGAAUCAGUCAAGGGUACAAGAGUAGCUGUGCUCCCCCGCUAGAAACUCCAGACAAGCUCUCAAAGCAGCACAGAGAAUUGUAAUCUAUUGUCUUUUUUAAUUAAUUAAUUAAUUCCCUUUUGAUGCCCAUGUUGUUUUAUU